UGAGUAACACGUAUCCAACCUGCCGCUUACUCGGGGAUAGCCUUUCGAAAGAAAGAUUAAUACCCGAUGGUAUAAAGAGUUCGCAUGUUCUCUUUAUUAAAGAAUUUCGGUAAGCGAUGGGGAUGCGUUCCAUUAGAUAGUUGGCGGGGUAACGGCCCACCAAGUCUACGAUGGAUAGGGGUUCUGAGAGGAAGGUCCCCCACAUUGGAACUGAGACACGGUCCAAACUCCUACGGGAGGCAGCAGUGAGGAAUAUUGGUCAAUGGACGAGAGUCUGAACCAGCCAAAAGUAGCGUGAAGGAUGACUGCCCUAUGGGUUGUAAACUUUCUUUUAGUAAGGGAAUAAAGUGAGGGACGUGUCCCUUUUUGUAUGUACCUUAUGAAUAAGGAUCGGCUAACUCCGUGCCAGCCGCCGC
rnacentral:rRNA from 1 species